rnacentral:snRNA from 1 species
GCGUGGCCUAUCGAUCCU